rnacentral:lncRNA from 1 species
GGCAGAGGCAGAGGCAGAGGCAGAGGCAGAGGCAGGAAGAUCUCUGUGUGAGUUUGAGGCUGGCCAGAACUACACAGUUCAAAGAAUUUCCUUCAGGCAGUGACCUGAAGAGGGACACCUGGCCCUGAUGUCACAAAAAUGCUGAUCCUGAGGAGAAAUGGUUUCUGGAAGAUCAGCUGGGAGAGUCCUGAGCCUAACACCCCAGGACAGUGGCCACACCCAGUACCAGAGUGCACCCCACCUCCCUCCUGGGCUUUACAACCUGGCAUUUAAUUUGGAAGGAGACAUUUGUUUCCGGUGGUAAAGUGGAAGUUUUGAGAAAUAGAUGCCUUCUGUCUUUGCCUUUCUUGAUUUUCCUUCUGCCUCCUGAGCUGAGCAGACAGAGUUCAUUUUGAAGGAAAAGGGUGAAGAACCUGGGAAGGUGUUGACAGAAGUCUCUCAUUCCAGGUGACAAGAUAAUGUCCCACUCCUGGAGUAUGGAGCCAGAGAUGCCACAGCUGGGUUCACACUCUACAAAUUAUGGAUGUCUGUGCCCUGAAUGUCUGUGUCCUAGGGUGUGUACUGUCAUGUGAAUAUAUGCUAGAGCCUUCUCACCCAGGAAAAUUUCACAUGACUCAGGCAUAUGACUGUAUAAAAAUGGGUAUAGAAAGCAAAGAUUGGUGCCCGGCAUUAGUGGCACACGCCUUUAAUCCCAGCACUCGGGAGGCAGAGGCAGGCAGAUCUCUGUGAGUUAGAGGCCAGCCUGGUCUCCAGAGCGAGUGCCAGGAUAGGCUCCAAAGCUACACAGAG